CGCGUAGGCGGUCUUGUAAGUCAGGUGUGAAAGCCCGGGGCUUAACCCCGGAAGUGCACUUGAAACUAUAAGACUUGAGUAUGGGAGAGGGAAGUGGAAUUCCUGGUGUAGCGGUGAAAUGCGUAGAUAUCAGGAGGAACACCGGUGGCGAAGGCGACUUCCUGGACCAAUACUGACGCUGAGGCGCGAAGGCGUGGGGAGCAAACA
rnacentral:rRNA from 1 species